rnacentral:rRNA from 1 species
UACAGAGGUCCCAAGCGUUGUUCGGAUUCACUGGGCGUAAAGGGUGCGUAGGCGGUCGGGUAAGUCUGAUGUGAAAUCUCAGAGCUCAACUCUGAAACUGCACUCGAUACUGCUCUGCUUGAGGACUGGAGAGGAGACUGGAAUUCACGGUGUAGCAGUGAAAUGCGUAGAUAUCGUGAGGAAGACCAGUGGCGAAGGCGGGUCUCUGGACAGUUCCUGACGCUGAGGCGCGAAGGCCAGGGGGAGCAAACGGG